rnacentral:lncRNA from 1 species
CCGGAGCAGCGGCGCGCGCUCCCCCGCCCUCGGCGUCGCACCCCCAAGGCCCAGCCCGGGCAGGGUACCCCGCUCGGUCGCUGGCGGCCGAGCCCUCCGCAAGCGCCCUGGGGAGGGGCAUAUGAGGCGGUGCUCCAGCUCCGCCCCGGCUGCCAUUGGCUCCCGAGCCCACGCCCGCAUGCCUACUGGUCGCGGCUGACAGCUCCGCCCCUCCCCUCCACCGGGCCCAUCAACACCGCACGGCCCGCCUACCGCGCACCCCGAUUGGGCGGGUACAGGAGUCAGUCUCGCGUUCUCAUUGGCCAGCCGUCAGGGGACACGCCGGGGCCCACUCACUUGCCCGCUGACCGGCUCCACUCUCAUUGGUGGAAGCACACGCCAGGCCCCGCCCUGGCUAUCAGCAGGCCGCUGAGUACGUGAGAACCUGCACAACAUCAGAUCCUCCGGCCCGGAACGUGCGGGCCAGUAGUUCGAGACCCAUGGCCGGAAAUUGGACGCCGGGGUUCCCAAACUUGCAACAUGCUGAGCUAGGAAACAGAGCACCCCAAAGCAACCUACUUUGCAAAGGAGGAGACCGGAGAAUUGGAUGAAUACAGGGUCAAGCAACAAGUGCUUAACCCCCCCCCCCCAAGGCUGAUCAGCAAGGGGGCGAAGGCUUCAGAGAAUAAAGAGGGUUUCCCAGUGCUGAGUUCUCCCUUCCUUCCUUGCGCACUGGGCUGCCCUGGGCGCUA